UUAAACCUCUUCCAGAGUAUCAAUUGGAGGGCAAGUCUGGUGCCAGCAGCCGCGGUAAUUCCAGCUCCAAUAGCGUAUAUUAAAAUUGUUGCAGUUAAAAAGCUCGUAGUUGAAUUUCUGCUGCAUUACUUUUGCUCCUUGACGAGUGUCUGUAUUGUGGCUUAUUUCGGAUUAUGCUUGCAUUUUCCGGAUGUUUACUUUGAGAAAAUUAGAGUGCUCAAAGCAGGCUUUUGCCUUGAAUAGUUUAGCAUGGAAUAAUAAAGUAGGACUU
rnacentral:rRNA from 1 species